rnacentral:rRNA from 1 species
GAUGAACGCUGGCGGCGUGCCUAAUACAUGCAAGUCGAGCGAACCACUUCGGUGGUGAGCGGCGAACGGGUGAGUAACACGUAGGUGAUCUGCCCAUCAGACGGGGACAACGAUUGGAAACGAUCGCUAAUACCGGAUAGGACGAAAGUUUAAAGGUGCUUCUGGCACCGCUGAUGGAUGAGCCUGCGGCGCAUUAGCUAGUUGGUAGGGUAAAGGCCUACCAAGGCGACGAUGCGUAGCCGACCUGAGAGGGUGAACGGCCACACUGGGACUGAGACACGGCCCAGACUCCUACGGGAGGCAGCAGUGGGGAAUAUUGGACAAUGGGCGCAAGCCUGAUCCAGCCAUACCGCGUGGGUGAAGAAGGCCUUCGGGUUGUAAAGCCCUUUUGUUGGGAAAGAAAUCCAGCCGGCUAAUACCUGGUUGGGAUGACGGUACCCAAAGAAUAAGCACCGGCUAACUUCGUGCCAGCCGCCGCGGUAA